rnacentral:sRNA from 1 species
AUCGCUGCCAAUUUAUCUACCACUGCCAAUCUAUCUAUCGCUGCCAAUUUAUCUACCACUGCCAAUCUAUCUAUCGCUGCCAAUCUAUUGCUGCUAAUCUAUCGCUGCUAAUCUAUCGCUGCUGCCAAUCUAUCUUUCGCUGCUAAUCUAUCGCCGCUGCCAAUCUAUCCCUCGCUGCUAAGCUAUCCCUCGCUGCUAAGCUAUCCCUCACUGCUAAGCUAUCUCUCGCUGCUAAGCUAUCCCUCACUGCUAAGCUAUCCCUCGCUGCUAAGCUAUCCCUCGCUGCUAAGCUAUCCCUCGCUGGCUAUCCCUCACUGCUAAGCUAUCGCCGCUGCCAACCUAUCUAUUGCUGCAAGCUAUCCCUCGCUGCUAAGCUAUCCCUCGCUGCUAAGCUAUCCCUCGCUGCUAAGCUAUCCCUCGCUGCUAAGCUAUCCCUCGCUGCUAAGCUAUCCCUCGCUGCUAAGCUAUCCCUCACUACUAAGCUAUCUAUCGCUGCUAAUCUAUCGCUGCCAACCUAUCUAUCACUGCCAACCUAUCUAUCGCUGCCAAUUUAUCUACCACUGCCAAUCUAUCACUGCUAAUCUAUCUAUCGCUGCUAAUCUAUCGCUGCUGUCAAUCUAUCUAUCGCUGCUAAUCUAUCGCUGCUAAUCUAUUGCUGCUAAUCUAUUGCUGCUGCCAAUCUAUCUAUCGCUGCUAAUCUAUCGCUGCUAAUCUAUCUAUCGCUGCUAAUCUAUCGCUGCUGUCAAUCUAUCUAUCACUGCUAAUCUAUCGCUGCUAAUCUAUCGCUGCUAAUCUAUCGCUGCCAACCUAUCUACCGCGGCGAAUCUAUCUAUUGCUGCCAACCAACCUACCUACCACUGCCAACCUAUCUAUCGCUGCCAAUCUAUCGCUGCCAAUCUAUUGCUGCCAAUCUAUCGCUGCCAACCUAUCUACUGCAGUGAAUCUAUCUAUCACUAUCAUUACUAGUUCAAAAUAGAACUAGAGCAUAAAUACACUAAACUUCUUUUGAUAGGUAAUGAUUUUUGGUAACACUCAUAGCAUUAUAUCAUCUAUAUAGGGUAAAUCAUGGUCCCAUUUUGUCCCAUUUUAACAAAAUGGGAUCAAAUGAGAUCAGAAUCAGUAAUUUAUAAGAAGAACAUGACCUGAGACUAGAUUUAUAAUAUAAACAAUGUAAAGUGACUAAUUUAAUAAACACUAUAUGAGAUC